GGAUGAACGCUGUCGGCGUGCCUACUCCAUGCAAGUCGAGCGAACAGACGAGGAGCUUGCUCCUCUGACGUUAGCGGCGGACGGGUGAGUAACACGUGGAUAACCUACCUAUAAGACUGGGAUAACUUCGGGAAACCGGAGCUAAUACCGGAUAAUAUAUUGAACCGCAUGGUUCAAUAGUGAAAGACGGUUUUGCUGUCACUUAUAGAUGGAUCCGCGCCGCAUUAGCUAGUUGGUAAGGUAACGGCUUACCAAGACAACGAUGCGUAGCCGACCUGAGAGGGUGAUCGGCCACACUGGAACUGAGACACGGUCCAGACUCCUACGGGAGGCAGCAGUAGGGAAUCUUCCGCAAUGGGCGAAAGCCUGACGGAGCAACGCCGCGUGAGUGAUGAAGGUCUUCGGAUCGUAAAACUCUGUUAUUAGGGAAGAACAAAUGUGUAAGUAACUAUGCACGUCUUGACGGUACCUAAUCAGAAAGCCACGGCUAACUACGUG
rnacentral:rRNA from 1 species